rnacentral:lncRNA from 1 species
CCCCAAAACCUAACUCCAAAAACCAAAAGAAAUGAAAACAAAUUCAAAACAAAUCUCACACAAAUCCCAACAAAAAGGAUAGGAAAAGUUUGAAGAAAAACCCUUUGCUCACAUAAAAAAAUCCUAACAUACUUCCUCUUCUUCGCAUCACAGAAACAACACUGGAGGCCUUUAUUUUUUUUCCUUCUCAUUUUUUCUCAUUGGAUAUUGUACCUGUACCAGCCAUCCCUCCCAUUCCACUUCUAAUACGAAAUCUUAUCAAGAUUUCUGAUCAAUUGAUCAAGAAAAUGCCACCACCUAUAUCUGCCUCCCUAAGAAUUGAUCUCAACCAUUGUAUCUAGUUCUUAGUCUAUAUAAAUAGUUACUAAACAAGGAGUUUAGGUUUUUUCAGAAGCAAAGGGUGAUGAAAGGAGCAGUAACAGAAACAAAUAAGAGAGGAAAAGAUCAGAAAGAAAAGAAAGAAGAAGAAAAAUUUCAGAAAAGAAAAGGCGUUAGGACUAAUGAACCAGCCCCAUUCGUCCCCAGCUUUCUCUUUUGUUUUAGACCUUUUGGGUUAGAUUAUUUUUCCUGUGUUUUCUAGAUUCAUAAUAGAAUGAUUUCCCUGUUGAGAGUAUCUGGAGAAAGCGGCUUUAAAGGCUUGAAAUUGGAGUUUUGAAAUCAUCUUAGGCGCAACUCUUGUUGCCAAAGAAGCUGUCUAUUUGGGUCUAUUUUGUGUUCAAAAUCUAUACACUACCAGAGUUUAUGCUCAAUCUGACUUCCCAAGCACCAAUGGUAACUCUUGUUUAUUCUUUUCCAUCUAUUCAAAUUUGGGUAAAAGGUUAAAUCCAUCAUAAAGGAGUUCUAAGCUUUUAUCUUUUGAUUAGACAUGGUGAUUCAUGCUUUGCUUUUAUUUGUGCCCGUUUCAUGAUCAUUAUAGCCUCAUAGAGACCCUUUUAACCGUCUAUUGAUGUUUGAUUAAAUAAGAAAAUGUCAAAAUUAAAAGUUAGCUCCUUGAACUUUGAAUUGGGUAUGUUAUUAUUGGCAACUUUUGGCAAAUGAGAUUAUACUUGAUAGUUGGUCAAAGGUUGUUCUAUAUGUUUGAUGAAUCUAUAGCAUAUUUUAAAAUAGAUUUUAGUGCAUAUUUCAUGACAUUUUGUGUGUUUUGGGUUUUGGAUGCUUUGAAAGAAAUCUAUCUAUUUGUCCCCUGUUCAUGAACCUUGAGUUGAUAUAGAUAGUGAGGUUGUCUUUCUUGUCAUGUGGAGGUUAUUUCUCUAGUUUUUGUUCCCAAAAUAAGCUACCAGAGCUUGAUCCCGACGAAGUUCCGACCAUUCUUGUCGGAAUAUUUCUAGAGGCCAACGAAACUUGCUAAUGCUUACCUUGUCUUUUGUUUCCUUUUCUUUUUUUACUUGGAUUAAUUUGAUUCUUUGGGUUUGUUUAGAUUUAAGUCAAGCUUGUUUGAGUUUUAAGGAGUUGGAUUAAUUUGAUUAUUAUUUUUUUUUUGUCAUCGUCACUUUAUCUAUAUUAUUGGGAAAUUGAUAGGGACUGAACCACCAUCGGACCAGCGCACCUGUCUGGAUUUUUUUACGGAAAUCACAUAUUGUGACAAUUGGUGGGAAGCAAGAUUUGAACUCUUUACCUCCCAUCCCCACCAAGUCCUUGGUGAUGGCCAACAAUUCAAAAGCUAUUGGUUAGGUUUAUUUAGUUUUAGAUUUGGUCUAUUUGGGUUAAAAACAAAAUUGAAUUGUUUGAGUUUUUUUUUUAAGUGGGUCAUUACUAUUUUUUCUAGGUAAUCUGUCAUUACUUCAUCGGGCCUAAAGUGGGACAAUCCAGACAAUUACCGUGAUGGUUUAAACCAUAAGAAAAUGAACUUUUAUUUUGGCCCCAUGAGUUUCUUAAUAACUCUGUUGUGAUCCAAAAAUUUUAACUUUCUUUCAUUUAGGUACUUAUUUUAAUUAUAAUUUGACCCCAAAAUUUUAUUUUUAUUUUAUUUUAGACCCUAAUCUUUUGAAAAAUAUAUUUUGACUCUGAUAGCUUCUUAAUCUCUCAAUUAGGAUGGUUUUUUUUUUCUUUAAUUGCUAAUUGUGCUUCUCUUAAAUGCAUUUAACUUGCCAUUUUGAAUGUUUUAAGUUUCUUUGUGUUUAGCUAAAUAAUGUGAAUUUACUACAUUUUAACUCUCUUUAUUAAAGUAUUUUUAAUUAAAUUGGUGUCUUGACCCUUUGUUGAUUCUUGAACAUAGAUAGGUCAAUAUUCCCUCAUCUUAGUCAUUUCUUCAGAGGGAGUUAACCCUACAACCCUUUAAAUUCUUGAAAAUAUGUGAUCUUAUAUAUUUUAUAUAUUUUAUGUAUUUUUAUUUAUUUCUUUAAUAUUUUAGGCAUUUUUAUGGUUUAUUUAUGUAAUUUAAGUUUUAUAAUAAUUUGGAGGGUAUUCGAAUACUCAAGAUCUAAU